GACGAACGCUGGCGGCGUGCUUAACACAUGCAAGUCGAACGGAAAGGCCCUGCUUUUGUGGGGUGCUCGAGUGGCGAACGGGUGAGUAACACGUGAGUAACCUGCCCUUGACUUUGGGAUAACUUCAGGAAACUGGGGCUAAUACCGGAUAGGAGCUCCUGCUGCAUGGUGGGGGUUGGACAGUUUCGGCGGUUGGGGAUGGACUCGCGGCUUAUCAGCUUGUUGGUGGGGUAGUGGCUUACCAAGGCUUUGACGGGUAGCCGGCCUGAGAGGGUGACCGGCCACAUUGGGACUGAGAUACGGCCCAGACUCCUACGGGAGGCAGCAGUGGGGAAUAUUGCACACUGGGCGGAAGCCUGAUGCAGCAACGCCGCGUGCGGGAUGACGGCCUUCGGGUUGUAAACCGCUUUCGCCUGUGACGAAGCGUGAGUGACGGUAAUGGGUAAAGAAGCACCGGCUAACUACGUG
rnacentral:rRNA from 1 species